GAUUUCUGGCUUGAUCCAUUUUGCCGGCCACGGUUUCGUGUGUUAGUGCUUGAUGGUCUGGCCAUCCUUCCUAUCGCGUCGUGUGCAUCUUCAUUGAUGCGCACGGCUGGUGGGAUCGUUUACUUUGAAAAAAUUAGAGUGUUUAAAGCAGGCUUUUGCUAUGAAUACAUUAGCAUGGAAUAAUAAUCUAGGACUUCGGUUCUAUUUUGUUGGUUUCUAUAACUGAAGUAAUGAUUGAUAGGGAUAGUUGGGGGUGCUAGUAUUGGCCGGCCAGAGGUGAAAUUCUUGGAUUCGGUCAAGACUAACUUAUGCGAAAGCAUU
rnacentral:rRNA from 1 species